rnacentral:ncRNA from 1 species
CAACCCCAACUCAUAUGGGACUACCCAUAUAAAAGAAACUAACAAGGAUUUUCUUAGUAGCGACGAGCGAAAAGAAAAUAGUUCAGCACUAAGUCACUUUGUCUUUAUGGCAAAUGUGAGAUGCAGUGUAUGGAGCAUCAAUAUUCUAGUAUGAGAAAUUAAGGAUUUAAGUCGUUCUUAAAUGAGGCCAUUUACCCCAGGUGCCAGGCCCGUAUAACGUUAAUGAUUACUAGAUGGUGUUUCCAAAGAGUCGUGUUGCUUGAUAGUGCAGCAAUAAGUGGGUGGUAAACUUCACCUAAAACUAAAUAUAACCAUGACCCCGAUAGUAAACAAGUACCGUGAGGGAAAGUUGAAAAGAACUCUGAAUAGAGAGUUAAAACUUGUUAGAGGUUAAGCCCGAUGAACCUGAAUAUCCAUUAUGGAAAAUUCUUUAUUAGAGUUUUAAUAUUAUAAUAAUAUUAUAAUAAUAGUGUGCAUUUUUUCCAUAUAAGGACAUGGUAAUCUAUUAACAUAAACCAAAUUU